GGUUCCAUAGUGUAGCGGUUAGCACAUCUGCUUUACACGCAGAAGGUCCUAGGUUCUCACUCCAGUGGAGCCA
rnacentral:tRNA from 1 species